rnacentral:rRNA from 1 species
GACAGAGGGUGCAAACGUUGCUCGGAAUUACUGGGCGUAAAGCGCGUGUAGGCGGACCGGCAAGUCAGAUGUGAAAUCCCUGGGCUCAACCCAGGAACUGCAUUUGAAACUGCCGGCCUUGAGUGACGGAGAGGGUUGCGGAAUUCCUGGUGUAGAGGUGAAAUUCGUAGAUAUCCGGAGGAACAUCAAUGGCGAAGGCAGCUGCCUGGGCCACAACUGACGCUGAGGUACGAAAGCGUGGGGAGCAAACAGG